rnacentral:rRNA from 1 species
AUUGAACGCUGGCGGCAGGCCUAAUACAUGCAAGUCGAACGAGUGGCGGACGGGUGAGUAAUGUCUGGGAAACUGCCCGAUGGAGGGGGAUAACUACUGGAAACGGUAGCUAAUACCGCAUACCAUCGGAUGUGCCCAGAUGGGAUUAGCUAGUGGGUAGGGUAACGGCUCACCUAGGCGACGAUCCCUAGCUGGUCUGAGAGGAUGACCAGCCACACUGGAACUGAGACACGGCCCAGACUCCUACGGGAGGCAGCAGUGGGGAAUAUUGCACAAUGGGCGCAAGCCUGAUGCAGCAAGGCCGCGUGUAUGAAGAAGGCCUUCGGGUUGUAAAGUACUUUCGGCGGGGAGGCGUUACUCGAAGAAGAAGCACCGGCUAACUCCGUGCCAGCAGCCGCGGUAAUAC